UACGUAGGUGGCGAACGUUAUCCGGAGUGACUGGGUGUAAAGGGUCCGUAGGCGGGAGGACAAGUCUGACGUGAAAGCGCCCGGCUCAACUGGGCGAGUGCGUUGGAAACUGUCCUUCUUGAAUCACGCAGAGGUCGGCGGAAUUCCCGGUGUAGUGGUGGAAUGCGUAGAGAUCGGGAGGAACCUCGAAAGCGAAGGCAGCCGACUGGGGGAUGAUUGACGCUGAGGGACGAAAGCGUGGGGAGCGAACAGG
rnacentral:rRNA from 1 species